GUUUAAAUGACCAUCGAUUUGUGCUCCUCCAGGCAGAAGUGAGUCAUAUUUUUUUUUCCAUUUGUGAAGGCUUAUAGGUAUGGAGCAGAGGUGACAGGAGAAUCUACAUGACCUGUCUGAGAGGAAACACCCAGACAGGUCAAAGAAAUCUCAGAAAUUAAGAUGAAGGAGAUAUGCUGAGAGGUUUAGACUAAAAGUGCAGGACAGCUCUUCUAUGGGAACACAAAGAUGAUCCAGUCCCCAACAGAAGCCAGAUCACUGGCUGGAUGAUGAUGGAAGUGACAAUUCAGACAAAGUAUUACCAAACCACAAUGUGGUUUUUUCCCUAUUACUGAUUUUUUUUGGGUGUGUGUGCUUGUUUUUGUAAUACAGGUAAUUGAUGCAUACAUUCAUAUCCUUGUUGAAAAACAGCAGGUAAAUGCUGGAUGUAAAACUAUAUUGUUCUCAAUGCAUGUGUACUUAAUACACUAUACACUCAAUACACACGAACUAACACACACUUAAUUUUUUUUAACAGGGAUCCAUUCAUCAGCUCUGUGCUGUGGUAGCUGGAAGUUUGUUUUCCAGAAGAUUUCAGCCUCUUAGAAAAGCAAUCUAUUUGUUUGUUUUUAUCUAGCCAUAUCACCUAACACCAGUAACCUGAAUUAACAAUAAUUUGAUAUAAAACCCAUUCUUCAGAUGAAAUUUCCAGUGUUAAAAAGAUGGAUUUGUCCUGUAAAUGUAGGUGCUCACUGGAUUUUAGUGGUUUUCUACUAUUUUCCUCAGACCUAUUUCUGAGAUGUGUGUGUGUGUAUAUAUAUAUAUAUAUAUAUAUACAUACAUACAUAUAUACAUGCAUUUCAGUUGACCUGAUGCAUGUCCUAGUGUGAUGGAAUAACAUAAAUACAGUAAUCAUUUAUAGAUGGUCACCAUGUCACAGAGGACACUGCUACUUGUUGAUCCAGACAAGUAUAUUGUGUAUUUUGUAUGCUUGUUAUGCUUUUUAAACGAUAAUUAGGAAUUUCUUGAGGAUGGUGGGCCAUGAAGUCCAAGGAGAUAAAUGGACUGUAAAAACUGUUCACCACAACAAGCAGCAAGAUGCCAGUAGGUGUGGGAUUUAGGUGUUAAAGUUUGCAGAAGGAUUUCUCAACAAUGGAGACAUCACAAGCAUCCAGACCCAUCCUGCAGAGGCUUUAAAGGCUCAAUGGGAAGCAGCAUGUGCCCUCCUACAGGUUGGAGGUCUGUGGGAAGAAACAUGAAGCCAUCACAGAUGGGAUAAAUACGGACACCACAUGUCCCUCACAAGAUCAAACUAGUGAAUAUAGUGUAUAUAUCAAAUAAAGUUGAC